rnacentral:rRNA from 1 species
CCUACGGGGGGCAGCAGUGGGGAAUUUUGGACAAUGGGCGCAAGCCUGAUCCAGCCAUGCCGCGUGAGUGAAGAAGGCCUUCGGGUUGUAAAGCUCUUUCGGCUGGGAAGAAAUCGCACUCUCUAAUACGGGGUGUGGAUGACGGUACCAGCAUAAGAAGCACCGGCUAACUACGUGCCAGCAGCCGCGGUAAUACGUAGGGUGCGAGCGUUAUUCGGACUUACUGGGCGUAAAGUGUACGCAGGCCGUGAAAUCCCCGGGCUCAACCUGGGAACUGCGUGUGUGACUGCACGGCUAGAGUACGGCAGAGGGGGGUGGAAUUCCACGUGUAGCAGUGAAAUGCGUAGAGAUGUGGAGGAACACCGAUGGCGAAGGCAGCCCCCUGGGCCAGUACUGACGCUCAUGCACGAAAGCGUGGGGAGCAAACAGGAUUAGAUACCCGUGUAGUC